rnacentral:rRNA from 1 species
UAUGUGAUCGUCUCUCGCAUAUCAAUAAGCGGAGGAAAAGAAACUAACAAGGAUUCCCUAGUAACGGCGAGUGAAGCGGGAAGAGCUCAAAUUUGAAAUCUUAAAGGUUUUCCCUUGACGAAUUGUAGUUUAAAGAAGUGUUUUCUGUUGAGGUUUUGGUAAAAGUUCUUUGGAAUAGGACAUCAUAGAGGGUGAGAAUCCCGUAUUUGACCUUUACUUUCAACUUUGUGAUACACUUUCAAAGAGUCGGAUUGUUUGGGAAUGCAGUCCAAAAUGGGUGGUAAAUUUCAUCUAAAGCUAAAUAUUGGCGAGAGACCGAUAGCGAACAAGUACCGUGAGGGAAAGAUGAAAAGAACUUUGAAAAGAGAGUUAAACAGUACGUGAAAUUGUCAAAAGGGAAGCGUUUGACACCAGUGUUGUUUUUCUGAAAAUCAAUUAAAGAACUGUUUAUGCUAAGCUGUUUAGACUUUAUCAGCUAUCUGUUUAGUUUUGAGCUUUUCUUUAAUGCACUUUUCAGUUAACAAGUCAACAUCAAUUUCUUUUGCUGUAAAAAAGCUUGAGGAAGGUGGCUUGAGAUUCGUCUUAAGUGUUUAUAGCCUCUUGCCUAUGCAGUCGGAGAGAUUGAGGUCUGCAGCGUAGAUCCUUCGGGGCUAAAUGCAUUUGUGCUAAGUUAUAGCAUUUUAUAGACAACUUGUUGACUAUGAUUUGUCUUGUAGCUUACUCGCUUAUGUUAUUUUACCUACGCUUAGGAUGUUGAGUCAUCACACAUCUCU